rnacentral:rRNA from 1 species
AGUGAACGCUGGCGGUAGGCCUAACACAUGCAAGUCGAACGGCAGCACCGUAAGAGCUUGCUCUUACGGGUGGCGAGUGGCGGACGGGUGCGGAAUACAUCGGAAUCUACUUUUUCGUGGGGGAUAACGUAGGGAAACUUACGCUAAUACCGCAUACGACCUACGGGUGAAAGCAGGGGAUCUUCGGACCUUUCGCGAUUGAAUGAGCCGAUGUCGGAUGAGCUAGUUGGCGGGGUAAAGGCCCACCAAGGCGACGAUCCGUAGCUGGUCUGAGAGGAUGAUCAGACACACUGGAACUGAGACACGGUCCAGACUCCUACGGGAGGCAGCAGUGGGGAAUAUUGGACAAUGGGCGCAAGCCUGAUCCAGCAAUACCGCGUGGGUGAAGAAGGCCUUCGGGUGGUAAAGCCCUGUUGUUGGGAAAGAAAAGCAGCAGGUUAAUACCCCGCUGUUCUGACGGUACCCAAAGAAUAAGCACCGGCUAACUUCGUG